GCGACCCCAGAUAAGGCGGGACUACCCGCUGAGUUUAAGCAUAU
rnacentral:rRNA from 1 species